CUCACUACAUCACACCCAAUUCAGAACAAACUAUUCACUUUUCAUGCCAAUGUAUGACUAUAUCUAUGAUACAAUGGAUAAGACAUCAGACACAUUGUAUGAAAAGUCACUUAAGAAAGAAGCUGAAGUACCUGAUGUGGUCCACCUUACGCAUCUAACAACCCUAGAAUCCAUCUACCAUCUUCGACUAGGAUUUGCAUCGCUGGCCUCGAAGCUUUCACACCUCAAAGUGGUAUUUUUGUUUAAUAUGGCCCAUCACAUUAUGGUCAAUAAUGCUUACAGGGAUUUCUGGUCCCACAUUUAUUGUUGAGAGAAAUUUGUUCAAGAAUGUCAAAUUACAAACUUAGGCUAUUCCAAAGUAUCGCAUACAAGUAAUUAAGUUUGAUUACUAAAAAUUGUUGUUACUUUUUGCGUCUGUUGUUAAAGUGAUUAUUAAUUUGUCCUGAUUCUUGAUUUUGUUGCAGUACUUUAUGCAAUAGCAAAGAGAGAGUAUUAACAAUUUGAUCGAGAAAGCGUUAAAUGAAGCAGAUCAGAAAGGCAUUAAAGUGUUGAGCCUUGGACUCUUAAAUCAGGCUAGUCAAAAUAUAUGUCCAAAAGCCUAAUAAUACCCAUCCUUUAUUUAUCUAUGACAAAAAUGCAUGACCGAUUCUUAACCAGUAAUAUCCUGCAAACUUAUCGCAGAAUGUUUGUACGCAAUCACAACAUUAUGGACGAAAAGAUUUUAAAAAAAUUCACACAUUACCCUAUAUCAACGUUGAAGGUUAACUCAUACUUAUGGUUUAUUUCAAAUGUAUGUUUUCAGGAAGAGCAACUGAAUAGGAAUGGUGAAAUUUUCAUAAAGAGGUACCCUCAGUGAAGGUGGUAGAUGUAAGUAGCCUAGCUGUUGCUGUGGUCCUCAACUUUAUUCCUAAAGGAACUUCACAAGUUUUCCUUCGAGAAGUUGCUAACAUUGCCCUUGCCUUGUGUAAAGGGGGAAUUCAAGUAUAUUUGACUAUUAAUCUCCAAAUAUUUUUAGCUUUUCGUUUUCUCGGUCAUUGUAAUUUUCUAUGUACAGGUUGUCAUGCUAGAUGAAGAAGAUAAAAAGAGACUUAAAGCAAGGCUUACCCCCGAGGCUGCAACUAAUUUGGUCUUCUCAAAAUCUUACAAUGUUUCAAAGACAUGGCUAGUAGGGGAUGGAUUGAGUGAAGAUGAACAAUUGAAUGCACCAAAAAGAACAUUAUUUAUACCUUUUUCACAAUUUCCUCCAAGAAAAGCUCACAAGGACUGCUUCUAUUUCAACACACCAGCCAUGAUUUCUCUGAAGCAUCUUGAAAAUUUAGACUCUUGUGAGAACUGGCUACCAAGAAGAGUGAUGAGUACCUAGAGAAUAGCUGGAAUUUUACAUGCAUUGGAAGGUUAGAAUGAGCAUGAAUGUGGUGACAUGAUGCUUGAUACUAAGAAAGUGUGGAAAGCUAGUCUGGAACAUGGUUUUUGCCCAUUAACCAAGAUUUCUGCUGCUUAAUCAAAGGGCUAAAAUCAUAUACUAUAUAGACUGCUCUUUCUAUUUUGAAUCUUUGAUCUACGUUGAUUUAUAUUACUGAAUCUUGGAUCUACGACGAUUUAAAAGUUUGUAAAAUAUUUCCUACAACACUUUGUGCAACAAAAACAA